AUCCACCAAUACACACACACACACACACACACACACACACACACACACCCUCUGAGACAACUAUUUUUCUGGUAAACAUUCUGAGAAAAUUCAGGAAAUCACAAAGUGAUGCAACAAUAGAUCAGAUCGGUGACAAUUUUUUGUGUUCACAGAUGUCGGAGCCACAUCCAGUCUGCCUGUUUAACUGAAAUGAUAACAAAGGAAACAAAAGGUUCAUCUGGCCAAGUGAGCUGUUUAUGGCUGCAGGAACUGCAUCGGCUGCAUCUACUGUUUACAGUGUGGUAGUUGUGACAGAGGACAGUUGUAGCUCUCCCGAUUGUUGUAACAUUGAAGUUGUAAAAUGCAGUUUCACAAUGCACACUGUUACAAACCUGUGUGCAUUUUGUUCUUGGGUAUGAACAAAAAGAAAAAUCCAAUUUCAUCAUCCCGCCUGAAUGCUUACCUGUAAUUCCACGCAGCCAAAGCAAAGCUAUCCGUUCUUUUAAACGUUUAGUUUAUUACAAGCAGUAACAAAGAGACAUUGGACAUGGAUGGCAGAUAGUUUGGGAACGUCUUUUGCUUGGAACCAUUCCUCUUUCCAGUAUUGAUGCACGGCAUGGCUAGUCCAGUUGGGAGCCAACUCCCAGUGUUGCUGGUGCUUACGGGCCCGGACCUGCAUCAUUAUCACAGCACUGAGCAUUGGCAGUCAGGCCACACUCGCCCCUCUCUUACCCCGGUGAUAAACUACUGACUGGACUCCGGGCGGAUAGGUUUUUCAGCAUGCCUCAGCGCCAAAAAGCACAUCAAUUAUUCAACCUCACAGUGGCCUAUUGUAAUUACUCUGCCAGCCAUCACCACCGUAAGUCAAUGAAAUAAGCAACGAGAUGCAAAAGCCGUACUCCUGCGGCAUAGCCAAGUGCAACCGGAUUAGUUUGUCCUUGUAUCCAGAAGGACACUGAGCCAGUGAGACAAAGCGAAGCGAAGUAAACAUGCACACCUCAGAAUGACAUUAUUGAAAUAUGCAACGCACGUCCGGUAUAUUUUGCUGCUGCUUUUUGUUUCUGGACGUCACUCUUUAAUGACUUGUGGGAGAUCCUGGCGCUCGUAAAGAGUGCAGGUCACGAAACACGUCGAGAGAGUCGUGGAAAGCAGGUGAUCAGAAGUCAUCAUCUGGCAGACAGAGUAAUGGAGCCGACAUGGACACGGAAAACACAGACUCACGGACAAAUUGGCAAAAACCGCACGCUGAAUCAGAGUUCAGAAUACUAAUCAAUGUCUCCCCGUUUACAUUUCACAUGACCGUCUCCUUGCCUUCACUCUCACAAAGCCCCUGUAAUCGCCGCAGAAUAUAGAUUGGUUGUUCAUCAGUCUGCGCACGAGCAACAAUCAUACGAGAUAGCGGGCAGGGAGUGAGGGGUAGGGAGGACAGUGAGAGGGGGGGGGGGAGAGAAAGUGACACACAGUACGGCACACGGGGACACGCAGCCUCACCGCCGUAGUUUUAGCCAAUGCUCACCCCUGAGGAAAGAUGGGGGGAAGACGGAAGAAAAAGAGGUGACUUACUUCUAUGGUCCUAUGAUUCUUCGUGAGCCUUAUCGAGAGACGUAAGAGCGUCCACUGACACAGAUGGAGAGACGGCGAGGGAGAAACAGUUGGCGAGGAAGAGGAGAUGAGGAGGGAGACCGGAGGGCUUGACUCGGAGUGCUGCUUUUGCUGUGUUGCACACUGUAAAAUUGUGCGUGUGUGUGUGUGUGUGUGUGUGUGUGUGUGUGUUGAGGCUCUCCAAGGGGCUCUGUGCAGAUACACUUAACCAAGUUGCUCCUGAACCUUUUGUUCACUCGUUUCGUCGCCUGCAUUUUUACCACGGGCGCACGUGCGAACUCGUGCCAUUUGAUUGCAAGUUGCCGUAUCACACAGCUUUGAGGGUUUGGCACCACUCAGAUGAAGGCAUACCCCCCCCCCCCCCUCCCUAAAUACUGAUUCAUAGGCAAAUAAUGAAAGCAUCUCUGCCCAGACCAGGCACGGAGUAGUGGUGUUUUGAAGAGAUAAGGAAAAUGGGCUCCAUUCACAGCAGUAGGAGACUGAGACAAAUUGAUCCCCUCAUUCUCUCAGUCAGUUGUUGUAAGUGAGAAUAAUGCCGAGAGCUGUCACUUGAGCGUGUGAAGAUACUCACUAAUAUCCACACAUUAUAACUACAGAUAAUUCACGUUGUUUUUUUUUUUUUUUGUCUUUUUCCGUGAAGUCAAAUGAAGCCUCCUGCCCUCUGAGACACACAUAGAAAUGUUUCGAGGAGCGGAGGCUUUUGCAGCAUGCAAUUAGCCCGAUGUGGGGGUUAUUGUUGUCGAAAGCGCGAGGAGGCCAUAGAAAUCGCGAGCACAAUGAUGGCAGGUGUGGAAUUAGCGACGUCUCCCCACCGCCGUUGUCGAGGCACUUGCAGAACAACCCUCUCUCAAGUUUGGAGCGAAUCUUUAGCAGCCCAGUGAAAGAAACUUUGGAAAACAAAGACGUCAGCUGUGACUGCAGCUUGGCACGAACAUCGAUGUAUUGAAUAUUAAGCGAGCAUGGCUUGAGUUUGCAGACUUGUUCUUCCAUGACAGAAUGUCAGAAUCACCUUUGUUUUUUUAAAGCACCUUAAAAAAAAACGCUGACCGUAAUCUGUCAUGUCAAAGCCUAAAAAUCGGCCUCUCCCUUUUCACCCGUGCUUUCGUUUUGCGCCAGGAAUAGGCAACCCCAUCUCCUGCCACAACAAUAACAACCCGCUUUCACAAAAGCAGGAUGCAUCUGAUAGCUCUGGCAAGGCUUUCUUUUUACAAACUCUCCGUCUCUGGGCUGCGGUCCACUAAAGCAUGGACACUGCCCUGUAACAAGACGGAUAUUUCCCUCUGGGGUUUUGGGAUUUAUUGCCUGUAGCAUUUAUGGAGAGGUCCCAGUUGGAGAUGACAGCAAAUGCACACAUACACACACAUACACGGAGGGGUUAGAAAUGCUAAUUUAGACACACAUAGGGGGGGUAUAAAUCCAGUCCUCAUUGUGAAUUCAGCACGUUGGCUGUAUUGUGCAGUGGUGAGCCCCUUUAUUCAAUUGAGCUGCCAUCCAUCGUGGAUGUGGCAUUGAGCAGGCACGUACCGGGAGCCCCCACAGGAGCAUUAGACUCACUCAAACACACAGGGACUGUUUGCAUACAUAUAAACAGACAGCGUAGAGAUGCAAAGACCCAUUAGGACUGUAAUGGCCUGAUGCAACUCUCUGUAGGGUCAUUAUUGUCCGCUGAGGAAUUCAAAAAGAUAUCGCCUUCAGAAGGCCGGGCGUCUCUGAGCACGGGUCGCUGUCUCUCCAAAGAUAUCGGCGCGUGAUUGUAUGCGACUAUGCACACUACUGCAUCCUCGAGUAUGCACUCGCUGCCACGCUGCCACGUAAUAAAGCCCCCGUGGGUUUUCAAAUGCAGGAGCGAAGACAAAAGGAUGUUACCGUAUGUUCACACUCUAAAGUGUUGUUAACCACUGAAGAAGGUUUCCAGAUUAAGUAAAGAGCAUCGCCAGGGACCAGCAACCUCGCCAGGAUGUUCUUCUUGUUAAAACAUCCAAGGGAAGUCUGAACUCUCAAACAGAGCACGCUUCAUUUAAUAAGUUGAAUGAAUGCUCAGUUGUGAAUUCAUUCAACUCAUAAUUUUUAUGUCAAAAGACAGGUGAACACAUAAUAUAUUUAAAACUUAAAGGAGCAAGAGUAUAAAUACAUAUUAAAUCUAAAUGUUUUAAUAAUGUUGCUUAGAAUCCCUAUUGUUAAAUUAUUAGUCAGAGUAGUACAAGUAGAAGUAUCAUAUUUAGUAACAGCAGUAAAAACAAAUCAGUUGCUUUUUACCUCCGGCAGCCACAGUUGUUUGAAAUAGUUGCGUGUGCUGCAGCCACGAGGAUCCCUACUGAGCCCGUGAGAAAAGAUGGCCCAUCAACACCGUACGAUCCCACUGAUGGAUGUUGGGAACUAUAAUUGUAAUGAUUGGUGUGAGGAGCACAGACGAGAGGUGUUUAGCCUACGAGGUGAGCCGUGGCCCAGUCGCUACGAGGUGAGCCGUGGCCCAGUCGCUACGAGGUGAGCCGUGGCCCCGUCGCUACGAGGUGAGCCGAGGCCCCGUCGCUACGAGGUGAGCCGUGGCCCAGUCGCUACGAGGUGAGCCGUGGCCCCGUCGCUACGAGGUGAGCCGAGGCCCCGUCGCUACGAGGUGAGCCGUGGCCCCGUCGCUACGAGGUGAGCCGUGGCCCAGUCGCUACGAGGUGAGCCGUGGCCCAGUCGCUACGAGGUGAGCCGUGGCGAGCCGUGGCCCCCGGCCCUUGUUGUCACGAAGUGGAGUUACAGGCCUCCAACAGCAAUCUGCACACAAUGCAAUGCCAAGGCACAGCGAGCAAUCUUUCCUCAGCCGCUACAGGUUCCACAUCCAGCUUCUCUCGCUCUCCUCUGAACCCCUUUAGUUCAUUAACACCCACUCUUCAUUUAUAGAGGAAAACACAUACGAGUUUGGAGCUUUGGGGCAACUUUUAACAACGUUCGCCAAUGCGUGAGUUGAAUCUAGUCAUUUUCUAACUCAACACCCAAUCUUUAACAUCUUCAAACUGAUCAUGCCCUCUCCCCCCACAUCUUUGCAGCUUUUCUUUCUAUCGCUGUUAUCGAAAAAUCAAGAUUUGCGUUGGUUUAUCUCAAGAGAGACAGAAUGACUUUAACUGGACACGUCUUUUUAAGUCAAAACAAUGCCUGCAUCAAAAAGACAGCAGUUCUACACAAACCCAGUACGGCGGUUUCUCACAUAUAACGCAGCCCGCUCUCUAACAGAAGAGACCCAUAGCGCCAUUAGCAUGUUUAACACGGUUACCGCGUGUGAGUGGCAGCGAGGCAUCAUUGCUCAUAUGACAUUCAUUGUGCUGCUGCCUGCUGGUGCAGAAUGCUGACAUGCAAUGACUGGCAAAAGUCAGCAGGAGCCCUGCUGUCCCUCACCCUCCUGCUGGGGAGGCCUGUGUGUACACCCGGGAGGGGAGUGGUGGAGGGAGGGUGAGCAGGAGGAGACAGACGGAGAGAGAGAGAGAGAGAGAGAGAGGGAGAACCUCUUUAGAGCGAAUGGAGCAUCAGGCCAUAUCCAUCUCCUCCGUUUCCUUAUGAAUAUGUAAACCAGAGAAGUCAAUAGGCAUCGACCAUUCUCCUCCCCCAAGAGGAGGAGAGGAGAGAAAUGAGCGCUCCCCUCUGAUGCUUUCAUCCAAUAAUGGUGGAUCUCUCUGUGGCACGUUAUAGAUACCUCCGUGUGUGUGUGUGUGUGUGUGUGUAAGUGCUUCAAAGUAUGUGUGUGGGCUACAAAUGGGAGAGCCUGGUAGCCAUUUAUUGAAAACAAUUGUCGCCUGAAAAUUGCCUUUUCGAUAACGUGCAUCUGUCUUUGGGUCGUGUCACAUUAUGGAAAUGGAGGAAAUGUAAGGAGCCUUUGACGUUUCUUGUCCUUUUCUGGGGGCAAAUGUGGUCAGGGUUUCUCUGCUGUUGUGAUGUGGGGACUUGAAAGCCUUAAUAUCCUGAUGCUUGGGCCAAAACCACUCCCUCUCCCCUCGUGCUGCCCUCGGCUGCAUGUGUGUGCGUGUGUGUCUUUGAGUGAAACAUUGGCACGGCAUCAGUGACAGAACAUACCUCACCGCAAGUGCGUUUGAUGGUCCGAGACGAGAAGGAAGCAUUUGGUUUAGAUCAUUCUCAGAGUGUUACUCACACACACACAUACACACACACACACACACGUCCCAGCGAGCCGGAUUAAAGCGAGAGGUCAAGUCAGGAGCAUUCUCCGUCGCUGUUAUCACCAUCGCCGCCACAUCGUCUAUUGAUCCCCCCCGGAUCACUGAUCGGUCUGCUCACGGUUUUCAGACAUCCCCAUUAGGUCCGUCGGAGCGGUGGUCAGCUGCGCUUUAUGCAAUUCUUUAUACCACCAGUUAUUAAGUAUUGAUCGGCCUUCCUGGCUGUGGGAACUUCCUGUGCUUGACUUUGUGCAGACUCUUGAUAUAGAACAAUGUGAUCAAUGUUUUCCUUCAUACGACGAUGAGGGGAUUUGAAUAGCAGUAGAAUAUAAAAUAAAUAUAAGUAUCAGAGUGUAGCUACAUGAAGUUACAGGGGCUUUAUGUAAAUAUCACUCUGAUGAUUUCUUCAGGUUUGAGGCAUUUCAUUGGUUACAAUUUUCCGUGAAUCCCAGUAUGGAGACGGAUAAUCCAAAAAUGAAGACAGAAACUGUGCGCGUGGAAUUAGCACUGCAUCUAAAUGACAUAUUUUGUAACUGAAAGAUAAAAUUAAACUAAUGGUACAGUGUUACAAAACUGUAAAUCUUCACUGUGAAUAUUCAUCUAAAUAUUUCCAAUACAUCGGAGAAAGCUCCCAAUUAUAGAAAAAUAUGAUUAAUAUGAUGACUGCUAUUCUUCCUCACUAAUUGUGCAGCUGUAAUUAAUCACUCAUACUUCUCAUUCAUGCUAUUAACAUAAUAUUUGUACACUCAAUAGUUGCCAUUCACACACAGGCAGUAACUUUAUAUUAGUUAAAAAUAUUGUAUGUAUAUCCAUGUUUCAUCUUCACUAUCCCCAUAAUCUGUUGUUGCAAAUCCCUCAAAUCAUUGAAGUGUCAUAUCUCAUCAAGCUAAUGGAAACGCUGGAGCAGAAGUGGCCUUUGAGCAAUCUCAAAGCUCCUUGCUACCAAUAAAGGGGGGGGGGGGGGGAUCAGUAGCUCCCCCUGCUAUAGUUACCUCUAUACCAACCACUGUGACGUCUGCUGUCCCCUUCUCUUCCCGUGGAGGUCAAAAAACACAUUUCAUUAUUUCCCUCUCAUCCUUUAAUCCUCUCCUGCCUGACGUAAGCACUCGGCUGCAGAGUGCACACUCGCUGCGAAUGGUCAACAAAGAGUUUUUCUUGGGGUCAUAAAUGUGUGUGUGUGUGUGUGUGUGGAGGGAGCGGGGUGCCGAUGGCUGACAGGAAAUGCAGAGUAGGAGGAAGAUGCAUGAAGAACGAGAGAGAGAGAGAGAGAGGGGGAAUUUAUGGCAACAUUGUCACCGCAAUCCCUUGUCAUCCGAGGUUUACACGAGGAUUACAGCUCAAGGCCCAAUUAUUACCUGGGAGGCUGCAGGAGAAGCGCAAUGUCAAAACUCGCGUCGGCAAACCCGAACGCCACGUGAAGAGCGCGCAGCGACUCGAGCCACAGCGGGUCAGCGUAUGGUCAAAGCGCCGGGCGAGCCGGCGGCGUGUCAGGCGGCGUUAAGCUGAGGACCAGCCAGCUCCAUCGCACCUGUCAGCGCCUCCAGACGGCUGCCAGUCACAAACACGCCGCAAUCCUCCCACGUGAUUGUGUUCGUCUUUGUGUGCGAGUGUGUGUAUAGCUGACAAGCGUCUGUGCAUGGCGUGCGCACUAACAGGCGACCUUUGUCUCCCCCCCCCCCCCCACACUCCCCCCAUACCCCCCACUGACGGUGUUAUUUCUGUGCUUUGACACCUCAUGAAACGUAAAUUGGAUUGUAAGAAAUUUCAUAGAGCCACGGUUGGAGGAGAAGUGGGCGUCAGUAGGAAGGAUCCUCUUUUAAAUCCCGGUGUUCGGGGGCCGCGGCGGCUCAAGGGUAAUGUAUGCAGCAUCAUGGCCAGCCUGGACCCAUGCAGAGAGAGGGGUCGUCGCCACGGCAGCGUCGCCAACAGAACAUUGGGCUGUUCUCUGUCAGACAGACACAGUAUUAUUCGCUAAGUGUAUUCAUCCUUUGUUCCCAUUGUCUCAUCCUGGCAAUCAGCUAAUCACCACUAAUCAAAUAAUCAAGACUUUGCACGUAUUUAAUCAGGCAAUUGCGCAUCAUAAAAUCCAAGGAAACUCUCACAAAACAGAAUCCACGGCUGUGCUUUUAUUUUUCAAUAAGCAAAACGAUCUCCUUAAAAAAGAAAAAUAAAUGAACCAAAGGGUGCCAACAACAACAAAUCUGUGCAGUUCAAAACACACUUUCUGAAGCUGUGUCAACGACAAUAAAUGGCCGGGGGCAUUUAAUAGGGAUCUCUAGUUUAUACCGAUUAGCUGUGAAGUGAAAUGACUCCACAAAGCUCACUGAACGCCGAGUCUUCAACUGAAAUCACAGUUUAUUUUGCCUCCAUUUAGCGGGCCGUAAUCGUUUAAAAUAAUAUUUAGACCCGAGAUUACAAAGCGGUUGGCUUUAAUGCUUCCGUUUCAUUUUAAUCAUCUGCCACCGCCUCGCACCUCGUUGCAGCCACCUCUGCAAAAGAGACGCCGAGUGCAACGUGGACACACAUAGAGACAUUGGUUCCAUUGUUUACCGGGGCUAUAGAUCCCGGGGCAAUAAGGCGUGGCUAAUUGCUGCUGCGUGCGAGCCGAGUUCGGGUAGUCCAGCUCUCGGGAAGAGUCCCGUGUUGCUGCGAGAGCCGGAGGCAGAGACAGUAAUGAUUAUGGAAUUACCAUGGCAGAGAUGGUGAUGGCUAUCCUAAUGAUUUCAUGUUACUGUAAUUAGCAUUAUGAGCUGGCUUGGUG
ensembl:lncRNA